rnacentral:rRNA from 1 species
UGGGGAAUUUUCCGCAAUGGGCGCAAGCCUGACGGAGCAAUACCGCGUGAGGGAGGAAGGCUCUUGGGUCGUAAACCUCUUUUCUCAGGGAAGAACACAAUGACGGUACCUGAGGAAUCAGCAUCGGCUAACUCCGUGCCAGCAGCCGCGGUAAUACGGAGGAUGCAAGCGUUAUCCGGAAUGAUUGGGCGUAAAGCGUCCGUAGGUGGUUUUGUAAGUCCGUGGUUAAAGCGUGGGGCUCAACUCCAUAAGGGCCAUGGAAACUACAUAACUAGAGUGAAGUAGGGGUAGAGGGAAUUCCCAGUGUAGCGGUGAAAUGCGUAGAGAUUGGGAAGAACACCGGUGGCGAAAGCGCUCUACUGGACUUAAACUGACACUGAGGGACGAAAGCUAGGGGAGCGAAAGGGAUUAGAUACCCCUGUAGUC